UACGGAUUGAUGUAACGGUAACAUAGUGGGCUCAUGCCCCCCAAAUAGUGGUUCGAAUCCACUGUCCGUAA
rnacentral:tRNA from 1 species